rnacentral:rRNA from 1 species
UAAUGAGGGGAGGAAAAGAAACUAACAAGGAUUUUCUUAGUAGCGGCGAGCGAAAAGAAAACAGUUCAGCACUAAGUCACUUUGUCUUUAUGGCAAAUGUGAGAUGCAGUGUAUGGAAUGUCAAAUUUCUAGUAUGAGAAAUUAACGAUUUAAGUCCUUCUUAAAUGAGGCCAUUUACCCAAAGAGGGUGCCAGGCCCGUAUAACGUUAAUGAUUACUAGAUGGCAUUUCCAAAGAGUCGUGUUGCUUGAUAGUGCAGCACUAAGUGGGUGGUAAACUCCAUCUAAAACUAAAUAUAACCAUGAGACCGAUAGUAAACAAGUACCGUGAGGGAAAGUUGAAAAGAACUCUGAAUAGAGAGUUAAAUAGUACGUGAAACUGCUUAGAGGUUAAGCCCGAUGAACCUGAAUAUCCGUUAUGGAAAAUUCAUCAUUAUGAUUUUAAUAUUUAUAAUAUUAUAAUAAUGGUGUGCAUUUUUUCUAUAAAGGACAUUGUAAUCUAUUAACAUAAAAAUAUUUAUCAUAAGAUCAAGGGCGUAAGUUUAUUCAAAUUAUUUUGCUUGCAAUUUAACAUAGGAUAAAUGUUCUUGAUUUGAUAAAGUGUUGAUAGAUUUAUUAUAUAUAGUGCUUAAAUAUUUAUAUUUUAUAAUAGCAUAUUAAUCAUUGAUUUUUAUGUUUAUUAUAUGCACUUAUAUGAUUAACAAUGCGAAAGAUUCAGGAUACCUUCGGGACCCGUCUUGAAACACGGACCAAGGAGUCUAACAUAUUUGCAAGUUAUUGGGAAUAAAAACCUAAUAGCGAAAUUAACAUAACUUAUUAAUGGGAUUAGUUUUUAGCCUAUUUAUAGUCUAUUAAUUCAAUCCCGGGGCGUUCUAUCAGUUAUGUAUAAUAAUAUUUAUAUUAUUUAUACCUCUAACUAGAGCGUACCUUGAGCAUAUAUGCUGUGACCCGAAAGAUGGUGAACUAUACUUGAUCAGGUUGAAGUCAGGGGAAACCCUGAUGGAAGACCGAAACAGUUCUGACGUGCAAAUCGAUUGUCAGAAUUGAGUAUAGGGGCGAAAGACCAAUCGAACCAUCUAGUAGCUGGUUCCCUCCGAAGUUUCCCUCAGGAUAGCUGGUGCAUUUAAAAAUUAUGUAAAAUAAUCUUAUCUGGUAAAGCGAAUGAUUAGAGGCCUUAGGGUCGAAACGACCUUAACCUAUUCUCAAACUUUAAAUGGGUAAGAACCUCACCUUUCUUGGUAUGAAGGUCGUGGUUGUGAUAUAAUGUGCCCAGUGGGCCACUUUUGGUAAGCAGAACUGGCGCUGUGGGAUGAACCAAACGUAAUGUUACGGUGCCCAAAUUAACAACUCAUGCAGAUACCAUGAAAGGCGUUGGUUGCUUAAAACAGCAGGACGGUGGACAUGGAAGUCGUAAUCCGCUAAGGAGUGUGUAACAACUCACCUGCCGAAGCAACUAGCCCUUAAAAUGGAUGGCGCUUAAGUUGUAUACCUAUACAUUACCGCUAAAGUAGAUGGUUUAUGUUCAAUUUCGGUUGGAUUAUAAACUUUGAAACUUUAGUGAGUAGGAGGGUACAAUGGUGAGCAUAGAAGUGUUUGGCGUAAGCCUGCAUGGAGCUGCCAUUGGUACAGAUCUUGGUGGUAGUAGCAAAUAAUCGAAUGAGACCUUGGAGGACUGAAGUGGAGAAGGGUUUCGUGUGAACAGUGGUUGAUCACGAGUUAGUCGGUCCUAAGUUCAAGGCGAAAGCCGAAAAUUUUCAAGUUAUAAUGAAAAGUAUAAAUAAUUUUACUUAGUAAUUAAACACUUGAAUAAUUUUGAACGAAAGGGAAUACGGUUCCAAUUCCGUAACCUGUUGAGUAUCCGUUUGUUAUUAAAUAUGGGCCUUGUGCUCAUCCUGGCAACAGGAACGACCAUAAAGAAGCCGUCGAGAGAUAUCGGAAGAGUUUUCUUUUCUGUUUUAUAGUCGUACUACCAUGGAAGUCUUUCGAAGAGAGAUAUGGUAGAUGGACUAGAAGAGCAUGACAUUUACUGUUGUGUCGAUAUUUUCUCCUCGGACCUUGAAAAUUUAUGGUGGGGUCACGCAAACUUCUCAACAGGCCGUACCAAUAUCCGCAGCUGGUCUCCAAGGUGAAGAGUCUCUAGUCGAUAGAAUA